rnacentral:misc_RNA from 1 species
UCAACCAUCAAGCUUGGGCUUGCCGUUGAACCCACCCGGACGGGAGGGUUCCAAAGUCAGUGGCGGGGCGGGUUGGACCCUCGAUGCAACGAGCUGUUUUAAAAACCAGCAAGCACCGACGGGGCCGCCGGCCGCCGGCCUUUUUCAUACUUCUAA